rnacentral:rRNA from 1 species
GAGUUUGAUCGUGGCUCAGGACGAACGCUGGCGGCGUGCCUAACACAUGCAAGUCGAGCGAUGCGAUCCUUCGGGAUCAAUUAGCGGCGGACGGGUGAGUAACACGUGGGUAACCUGCCUCAAAGAGGGGAAUAGCCUCCCGAAAGGGAGAUUAAUACCGCAUAAUAUGUUUUAGUCGCAUGACUUAGACAUCAAAGGAUUUUCUUCGGAGAUUCCACUUUGAGAUGGACCCGCGGCGCAUUAGCUAGUUGGUGAGGUAACGGCCCACCAAGGCAACGAUGCGUAGCCGACCUGAGAGGGUGAUCGUCCACAUUGGAACUGAGACAC